rnacentral:snRNA from 1 species
AGCUUUGGGCAAUGGCCGUAUCGUAGCCAAUGAGGCGAGAUUAUUGCUAUCUGAAAACUUUUUCCAAUACCCCUCCGUGAUGGCUUGAAAUGUCGUUGGCAAAGGCAAUUUUUGACGGUCUCAGAGA